rnacentral:rRNA from 1 species
UACAGAGGGUGCAAGCGUUUGUUCGGAAUUAUUGGGCGUAAAGGGAGUGUAGGCGGCUUGUUAAGUCUUCUGUGAAAUCUACGGGCUUAGCCUGUAACGUGCAGAGGAAACUGGCGAGCUUGAGUGUCGGAGAGGGUAGCGGAAUUCCCGGUGUAGAGGUGAAAUUCGUAGAGAUCGGGAGGAACACCAGUGGCGAAGGCGGCUACCUGGACCAGCACUGACACUGAGGCACGAAAGCGUGGGGAGCAAACAGG